rnacentral:piRNA from 1 species
UUGUGAAAGAGCCUGGUGU